UAGUCAUAUGCUUGUCUCAAAGAUUAAGCCAUGCAUGUCUAAGUAUAAACAAGUUUGUACUGUGAAACUGCGAAUGGCUCAUUAAAUCAGUUAUAGUUUAUUUGAUGAUGACUUUCUACAUGGAUAACUGUGGAAAACUAGAGCUAAUACAUGCAACUAAAGCCCCGACUUCUGGGAGGGGUGUAUUUAUUAGAUAAAAAACCAACGCGGCUCGCCGCUCGUUUGGUGAUUCAUAAUAACUUUUCGAAUCGCAUGGCCUUGUGCUGGCGAUGCUUCAUUCAAAUAUCUGCCCUAUCAACUUUCGAUGGUAGGAUAGUGGCCUACCAUGGUUUCAACGGGUAACGGGGAAUAAGGGUUCGAUUCCGGAGAGGGAGCCUGAGAAACGGCUACCACAUCCAUGGAAGGCAGCAGGCGCGCAAAUUACCCAAUCCCGACACGGGGAGGUAGUGACAAUAAAUAACGAUAUAGGGCUCUUUAGGGUCUUAUAAUUGGAAUGAGUACAAUUCAAAUCUCUUAACGAGGAACAAUU
rnacentral:rRNA from 1 species